rnacentral:rRNA from 1 species
GUGGAACCUCGGAUCAAGCAGGGNUACCCCGCUGAACUUAAGCAUAUUAAUAA